CAUCCGCUGCCGUAGCGUACCAAUGGGGCUAACAUCAUGCGCGCUUCCGUGCGCUAACAUGUGAGCUAACUGAUAAUUUCCGUCAUUGAACCCACAUCUACGGCGGACUUAUUGAAAUGAAACAAGAUAGAGACUGAUUCCAAAAAAAAAAAAAAGGUUGGAGACCAAAUGAAUAAAUACUAAAGUUAAGAACAUUGGUUAAAUUAACACAAAAAUCAAUAGCACCAAUAGCUUGGUGCUGAUAGUAUUCCACCUAUUAUAUAACUAUAUAUAUAUAUAUAUAUAUAUAUAUAUAUAGUAUGUCUUGUGUGCUAUUAGGAGCACGGAGGCUUCCGUGCUCCUAAGGCGCCGUUUUUUAUGAUGGAGCUUGCGAAUCGACAAUCGGUUCCAUUAGACUUGAUCUAGCGUAUUUGAAGUAUCUAGAAAAUAAAUUUUGCGAAUUUUCAAUAUCAUUUACUUAGCGAUCGAAAGGGUUCAAAAUCAUUUAGAACCAAAUUUCAUAAUUUUUUGAUUUCAUUUGCCUAGUGAAGGAGUACGCUCAAAAUAAACGGCUGAAAAUAAAAUCACACAAAAAUAGUGAUAAAAGGCUCACAUUUUAAAUCGAAAAUAUUAUUCUUACAUCUUGAUGUUAAGUAGAAUUUUCUAUUAAAAUUUCAUGUAAUUUUGAUUCUUUUACACCGUUGAACUUUAAAACGCGCCAUAUCAGUCGUUAAAAUAGUCAUUUUUGAGACUCUUUGAUCACUUGGUAAAUGAUGUCAAAAAAUUAUGAAAUUUGAUUUUUGAAUAGUUCUAAUAACGUAAAUCAUGCCUAACGGAGCCGAUCGCCGAAUCUGAUGCUCCAUCAUAAAAAAAACAACUAGAAAGUACGAAAAUCUCCGUACUUUUGAAAGUGUAGGAAACGUACUAUAUAUAUAAUUGAGCUCCUAUGAUUUUAAAAGUAUUAUGUUAUUGGUGUUUGUAGAUUUUUGGCUAUUGAAUUAAGAAAUAUGUGGUUAGAAUGAUGUGGCCCCUCUAGGGUUGAGUGGAUGGUUGGUUGAAUAGCAUAAUCUAACAGUUGAAAAUGAUAAAAAACGUAGAUCUAACGGUAAAAAAUUUACAAGCACCAAAUGCUUCGUGGUUUUCCAAGCACCAUAGCCGAACUAUAUAUAAGAGUAUCCAAUAUUUUUAAAAGUUGAGAAAUACUGGAUACCUGACAUACGCUUACACACUGUUUGGUUCGGGGUUAAAGGUAGGGAUAACAGGAAUUUUGGGAGUUGGGAUUAGCUAACCCUACUCUAAAUGGACUAGCCCCUUAGGAAUAGAAACUCCAAACAAGAAUUUUGGGAGUUGGGUUUAGCUAACCCUACCCCAAAUGGACUAGCCCCUUAGGAAUAGGGGUGGGAUUAAGUUAAUCCCACUGCUAUUUAAUUUUUAAAUAUAAAUAUAAAUUUAAAAUUUUAAAAUUUAAAAUUAAUAUUUAUUUUUUAAAAUUAAAAAUUAAAGAUUUGAAAUUUAAAAUUUAAAUUUUAAAAUUAUUAAUUUUAAUUAUUUAAAUUUUAAAUUUGAUAUUUUAUAUUUGUAACUUUAAAUUUUUAAAUUUGAGAUUUAAAAAUAUAGACUUUAAUUUUAAAUUUUGAAUUUUAAAUUUUAAAUUAUCAACUAUCUUUCUUAUUUCAUUUACUCCAACCAAACACUAUUUUGCUUAUAUUUGAACUAAAUCCAAUUCUUAAGCAAACACAAAAUUAUUCUAACCCUAUCUUAAUCCUGAACUUAAUCCUAUUCCUAAAAUAACUAACCCCGAACCAAAUAAAUUAGCCUUAGGUAAAUACAUUAAAAAAGAUUACGUGAUAGGGCGUAGCGUUAUUUUAAAGUGAGAUGAUAUAUUUGCACCAUAAGUUUGUGGUUAAUAAAAAUUAAAAACUAUUAUUGGUGUAAUUAACUUUUAUUUUCUAAUGAAUAAAAAGUCAAAAAUAUUUUUUUUUUUUAUGCAAGCCAGUCAUUUCAUUACUUUACAAUGGCUCAUCAUUCAGAUCCUAAUACUUUAAAAUGUGUCGUUUUGUCGUAGCCGCGUCAUAUCGUAUCCCCACACGCUUACUUGGAAGAUUGUUAAAACAAUGGCUCAACUCUUUAGUAUUGAAUUUUUCAACCAUGUGAUAAUUAAUUACAUGCAUAACAAUAUUUUUUUGAUUUGAGAACUAUUGAUAUUAAUCUGAGGAGCAAUAUUAUUGGUACGCUCCACUCCUUCAAUAAAUGAGAUCUUUUUAUUAGUCACAUCACAUGACUAGUGAAUUAUGAAUUCAGAUAUAUAUCUAGAAUUAUUAGUGUUAAUUAUUUUUUUUUGAAAGAUAGGUAGCACGCAUCCGCUUCAUUUAUUUCAUUUAGAAAUAAAUUUAGCUAGAAAUAUGAAUCAAUUAGGAUUCGAACUUGGGUCUCGGGUACCAACCACUAAGCCCUUUGCCACUUGCUCUAGGGAUGGUCGGUUAUUAGUGUUAAUUAUUAAUUUUAAAAAUUUGAGUUAUAAAAAGAUACAACUAAUUUAUUUAACGCAUACAAUCACAGUGUUUAAAAGUCUCGACUGUGACUCGAUUCAAUCCGACCUUCAGCAACUUUAGACCCAAUCCGGCCUACCGACAUUUCGAACAUAACUCGACCAGGCAUAUGAUCUAUUGUCCUCUUUUUAGUCCUUUUUUUUUUGAGAAAUAGAUAGCGCGCUAGCCGCUUCGUUUAUUUUAUUUAGAAAUAUAUUUAGUUAGAAAUGUGAAUCAACAAGAAUUCGAACUUGAGACCUUACGUACCUACCACCAAGCCCUUUAUAACUUGCUCUAGGGACGGUCGGUCCGUCCUUUUAAGUCAAAUAUGCACUUUCUUAGUUGGAGUGCUUUUUGAAAAAAGGGAAAAAAAAAAAGGGAUUACAUGGUUCCAUUGUCGACUUGUGCUCAUAUAAGUACUCAUAUUUGUGAAACAAUCCUUCUUUUUGUCGAAUAUAUAAUUAGAAACAGCCUCCGCUGAAAGUUUAAGUUUUUAAGAAUAGUGAUUAUUUUACAUUCUUUAAUAUAAUAUUAAAGUAAAAGGUUAUGCGCGUGAGACUUCUAGCCUUAAUUAAUUUUUUUUUUAUUUAAUUCGAGUCUAUGUUUUAAGCUUAUAAAAAUAUUUCAAACUCACAUAUGAGAAAUAAUACUGAAUAUGUUAUUAAAUUCUAUUCUCCGACAACUUAAGUUUUUGAAGAAUAAUAAUUAUUUUACAUAUUCUUUAAUAUAUUUAUCUCAAAAAAUUUAAGCAUUUAAAAAAUAGUAUAACUGAAACUAUCAAUAAAUUAUGUUUUAAUAUCUCAUUAUCAAAAUGAUAUAAUUGAUUUAGAAAGGUACAACGUUGUGCAUAUUUGCUAUUACUCUUCUAUUACUGGGGAAAAAAAAAACGAAAAGAAAGGAACCAAGAAUAUAGUUCCACUUUUUAUUUUUUCUAUUAUGAGCUUUUUUAAAAGUUUAUAAUUUUUCGGAAUUAAUUCCAAAAAACACAUUAUUAUACAAGUUUAGACAUCUUUUUUAUAUUACUCCAGUUCAUCAAUUCAUCUUUAUAUUAUAUGUUUGUGAGUGUGUGUGAAGUGAAAUGCUCAUGCAUCCAAAUAUGUUCUUAGUUAAAAAAGACAAAAGUGUAUCAUAUUCUCUAUUAGCUUAAGCUUUGCUAGUUAAUUUUUUAAAAUCCUUUAAAAUAGUAUCUAAUAUUAGGAAUCAGUAAAUUUCGAGUCUAUAUAUACGCGGAGCAUUGAAUAAGUAAAUAAAAUAACCUUUUUUGUUAGCUUAAGUUUUAGCAUUACCAAAGUCCUUAAUGGAUAUCAUAUAAGAUCAUAAAUUUCUGAGUUUAAAUCUCUACUGAGCUCUUAGUCUAAUUUAAUUUUUUUUCCGCUAUACUACAACAAAAUUAGGUUAUAUCGAUACAUUUUUGAGACAUUUUUAUUUACGUGUCCUAUUUAUACAAAAACUUUUUAAAAAUUUCUAUUAAGAUCUAAAUAUAAAGUCUAAUACAAUAAAAAAUAAAAAGUUUCUCUACUCAACCAACCAUAUCCAGCCCACUCCAUCUGAUUACAAAUAAAAAAGAAAAAAAAAUUGAUCACACCAUCUCCCGUUCUCCUCCUUUAGCAUCGCAGCCAACGAGAUCGGGUUCCGGUGGCUGAAGUUCGGCCGCGAUGAUAUUGCAGGAACCGUAGAGGGUUACAAUCGCCACGAAUUCUUCCGCCAUAAGUUGUUGGAGGAGUGAGUACCAAAUAUUAAGACUGUCCCACUUACAGCGACCUCAUAUAUAGUAACAUUUUUAAAAAGUGUCGAUAAUUUAGUUAGCACCAUUUUUUUUUUACCUGUAUCGAUAUUUAAAAAUGUCGCUAUAUACUGUUUUUGUUGUAAUACUAUUAACUCUAUUAUGGCUUGUUUGGUUCAUCCAUUUUGGGUAUAGAAUGGAAAUCGGUUUGAUCAAAUCCGGUUAAUUUUGUUUGAUUCACAUGAAUCGAUUUGGAAUUCCUAUUCCGGACUGGAAUGGGAAUGGCCCAUUAGCCUUCAACUUAAUUCCGGUCUUCUAGCCCGGAUUGAGAUUUCAUUCCGGCAGCCCACUAAGUUCUCGAAGCCCAUGUGACCAUCUCACCCCCCUUCUCUUCAUCCCUUUCUCAUCUUUAAAAAAAAAACUAUCCUCUCUCAAAACUCUAUUCCUAACCCACAUCAAUAAAAGUUUUUAAAAAUAAAUUUAAUAUUUUUUUUGGAAAACUUAUUAGAGAAUAGUAUUAUAUUUUUCAUAAAGUUUAAAUAAUAUAAAUUUAUAUUUAAGAAUAAAAUUAAUAUUAUAGUAUCUUAUAAUUUUUUUUAGUUUAUACGAACCAAAUAAUGAAAUGUGAAUAACUCAUUCCAAUUUCCAAUCCACAAAUAAACCAAACGUCUUGGGAGAAUGGGUCAUUCCAAUUAUCAUUCCAAUUCAUUCCCAUUUCAUUAUCUAUUCUAAUUCCACCCUUGAACCAAAUAAGCCCUAAGUCCGUAUCUUAGACCUGUCAAAAAGUCACGAGCACUUACAUAAGGAAUAAAUAUAGAGAAUUAAAAUAUAUAUAUUUUUAAUUUUGUGCAGGAAAGAACUUUUUAUUCUGGUUCGGGCCAUUGCCCAGGAUCGUGGUGACAGAACCGGAACUGAUAAAGAAGAUGUUCAGUGACCCUAAAGAGUUCAUAUUACUUGUACAGCAUCCAGCUUUGUAUCAGCUUAUUGGAAAAGCACUUCCUUUGGCCGAGGGAGAUGCAUGGGCCACCAAUAGAAAGCUCCUUAGCCCCUUCUUCAAUUUGGAGUCCCUUAAGGUANGUAUUUAAUUAUAUAUCGUAUUAAUUUUGUAUGUGCUACAUAGUUUAUCACUAAUAUCUACAGACAAACUUUUUUUUUUUUAGAGAUUUAGCCUUCUCGUGUAGUGUGAUCACAAAGAUCAUUUUGUUCUUGAAGUGCUAAAACAGAAAAUUAAUUAAACUCUCUUUGGUUUUUUAUUAUUAUUUUGCUUUUUUUUUAUUUUUUAUUAACCUGGUUGAAUAUGACAACAACCUUGUCUCUAAUUGAUUCCUCGCUUACUUCAGAAGAUUCUUAAAAUAGUGGCUCAACCUUUAAGAAUUGAAUUUUGCAACCACAUGAUAAUUACAUGCAUAAAAAUAUUUUCUGAUUAGAUAACUGUUGAUAUUAAUUUGAGGCGCAAUACUACAUGAACACUCCACCCAUUCAAUGAAUGAGAUUUUUUUACUAAUCACAUAACGCGACAAGUAAAUUCGUUCCACUUCUUUGAUGGAUUCGGAUAUAUGUAUAGAACCAUUGUUGCUAAUCAUUAAUUUUAGAAACUCAAUCCACAGAAAAAUACAACUAAUUCACUUAAGUGUACAGUUACAGUGCCUAAAAGAAUAUUGAAUAUAUAUAUAAUUAAAAUACUGUUCUCUAGCGGUUUAAACGUUUGAAGAAUAAUGAUUGUUUUACAUUCUUUAACAUAUUUAAUUCUCCAAAAACUUAAGCCUCUUAAGAACAUGCAGUGUCACUGAAACUACCAAUAAAUUAUUUUGUUUAUAUUUUAUGAUCAAGAUAAUAUAGUUGUUUUAGGAAGGUACAAAUUUGAACGUAUUAAUUUAUUAUCGUAUCUGAUAUUAGGAAUCAAUAACUUUCAGUAUUAACUACAAGUCCGUAUCUUAGAUCAGUCAAAAAGUCACGAGCACUUACACGAGCAAUAAAUAUAGAAAAUUAAAAUAUAUAAUAUUUUUUUAUUUUCUGCAGGGAAGAAUUUUUUAUUCUGGUUCGGGCCACUGCCCAGGAUCGUGGUGACAGAACCGGAACUGAUAAAGAAGAUGUUCAGUGACCCUAAAGAGUUCAUAUUACUUGUACAGCAUCCAGCUUUGUAUCAGCUUAUUGGAAAAGCACUUCCUUUGGCCGAGGGAGAUGCAUGGGCCACCAAUAGAAAGCUCCUUAGCCCCUUCUUCAAUUUGGAGUCCCUUAAGGUAAUAUAUAUUCUUACGUGGUGUUGAAGAGGACUUUUCUCUAUCCGCUUCUGCUUCUGCUGUGCCAAGAAACUUAAACAUUGAGGUUGUUUGGUGCUUCUGAUUUUUCUACAGAAAAAGUGACAGAAUACAACGACCGUUUUUAACCGCACUGCUUAGAUAACACUUUAUUAACCAGCGCUACACUGCCGAGCAGUUUAACCUUAUUUCGAAUAAAUUGAAAUAGAAAAAGUUCAUUGUGUGGAAGGUAAAUUAGACAUGCACUGAGUUUAUUCUUCUUAACCGUGUUAUGCAGGGUCUGUCACACAUAGUUAUAGAAGCCACGGAAAAAUUGGUGGAAACUUGGAGUAAUUUAGCAAAGUCCAGUGAAUGGGAAGCCGAUGUGUACAGCGAGUUCGAAGAGCUUGUUCAGAACAUCGCGGCCGCCGUCGUGUUCGGAAGGAAUGCCAAGGAAGGGAAGUACAUUGGCCAUCUGCAAAUGAAGCAGGAAAACCUGAUAGCAGGAGCAUUGCGGAAUGUUUACAUUCCUGGCACAAGGUAACAUUAAUUCAAAUUCAAACGGUUUUUUUUUUUUAAAUCAGUUUAAAUUAAAAAUAAAACAAGUAUAAUAUGCUCAGGUGUACAUGUUACAGAUGCUGUAAAAAAAAAAGAAAUAUAUGCAUAAUGUAGUCACACAGAACUAUAAAUGUAAAUCCUUUUUUCUGAUGGUUAUUUCUGAAUGCAGGUUCCUCCCUACAUCCUUCAAUUUGAGGAGCAAUUGGCUAAGAAAAGAAGUGGACAGGCUGCUGAUGCAGCUUAUCAAGAUACGAGACGCGAAUAGAGAUACGACAGAAAGCGACUUACUCAGUUAUCUGCUCUCGUCGUCCAUGCCUCGCGAACAAAUCAAGGAAGAGUGUCGCGUCUUUUCGGUGGCUGCUUACGAGACUGUAUCUAUACUUCUGUCCUGGACUUUCAUAAUGCUGGGCACAUUUACUGAGUGGCAGGACAAAGCUCGCGAAGAAGUUAGUGAAGUGCUCAAAGGGAAUAAUCCCUCCUUCGAAACUCUCAGCCGAUUCAAGAUAGUAAGUUACUCCGAGUCGCAUCCACUUCUUUGCAUAGAUUCAGUGAUCAAACCAUAGUCUAAAAUUAAAUGAAGCAUGCUUGUUUUCGAGUUUACAGAUUCAAAAAAGCCGCAAUCAUGUGCAAUCACAAAACAUUAACAUGGCAACUUAAGAGUUAGCAAAUAAUGUAUGUGCCAAAUCCACCAUCAAGGAUUCAAAAUCAAGCAUUUUUGUGUUAUGCGCACGCCAACUGAUUUGCGAUUCAUGAAUAUGAAACAGUCCUAAUAGCACUUGUAUUCUGGUGUUUGUGCCAACAGCUCAACAUGAUAAUCAAUGAGACUCUCCGACUGUACCCUCCGGUCCCGACAGUAAUCCGCGGAGUGAAGGAAGACACAAAACUAGCAAACCUAACCGUUCCCGCGGGAACAGGCUUCAUAGUGCCUAUAAUCGCAAUACACCACGACAAGGACUUGUGGGGCGAGAACGCCGACGUGUUCGACCCGAGCCGCUUCUCCGAGGGUGUGGCUAAGGCCGCGAAGCAUCCAAUGGCCUUCAUGCCAUUCACUGUCGGUCCGAGGAUAUGUAUAGGGAUGAACUUCGUCUUGAUGGAGGCUAAGAUCAUCCUGGCAAUGCUGCUGCAGAAGUUUAGAUUUGUGGUGUCUCCGAACUACAAACACGAGCCGUCGUACAGCGUCAUCAUGAAGCCCGGUAAGGGUGCGCAGAUCGUACUCACGAGAAUAUGAUCUCGCGAAUCAAAUGUGUAUGUAUUGUUUGUGAAAUGUAGAGCCUUAGUAUCUGCUUCUUUGUUGAGUAUCAAUUGUAAUAGAAUUAUACAGUACUGGACAUGUUAUCAGCUUUUGAUUAAUAAAGGAAACAGUUAUGGUCUUGGAUUGUAUGCUGUGCACUUGUGCUUGUUGCUAAUUGAUAAUCUAGAAGUGGAUGAAAAUUGUUUAGUCCUACAUCGGAAAGCAAACAAAACUAGAGCUGUUUCUUAUUUGGCUUAGUCCUACGUAUGUUUGAAAAAAGUAAUAUUUAUAUAUCUCGACAUGGUAUUAUAGCGAGUUAAAUAUAAAGGCUCGCUCUGAUACCAUGUUGAGAUGUAUGUAUAUUACUUAUUAUUUUUGGAUAUACAAUAUACCAACAUCUAAAUUAUUUUCUUUGAAACAUCUUCUUUUAUGCAGAUUUAUUGCUUUGAAUUUCAAGUAGAACUCUCUUCGGAAUGCAUAGAAUUUUUUAAAAAAUUUCAAAUAUAUUGGAGUUUAAUUGAAUGCCAUUUUGUUUUAUUGAUAGGUGAAAAAAAAAAAUAAAUAAUUAUGGUAUGUUUAAUUUUUCCAAUAAAUAAUUAGUGUAGUUAAAUAAAAAUAGCUAUUUCACAUUAUUGAUAAAACAACACUAGUAAUAGCAAGCGAAUUCUCACCAAAACUGACAUUAAAUCACAGUAAUCAAAUAGAAACCAUUUGCAUUGCAACAAGAGUGGACCAAAUCAAUCCAAAUCAACUACAAUCUCGUAAAUUAAUAGCGAAACAAUAAAUUUGAAAAAUUAUUUACUGUUAUACUUAGGGGCAAGCAUCAUGACCUGUCUCAAGAUUCGCGAAUGUUGUAUCCGUGUACUUAAAAUGGAGGUCAGGUUAGGCCGAGUCUUAAUUGAGACCUGUUAAUAAUGGAUUUGUAUACUUUAAGUGAAUUGAUUAUAUAUUUAUAACGACUCGAAUGGUUGAAAUUAAUGUUAAAGCCACAAACACCCAAUCAUAUAAACCUAAUAAAAGAUUUGAAGNCGCGAAUCAAACAUAUGUAUUGUUUGUGAAAUGUAGAGCCUUAGUAUCUGCUUCUUUGUUGAGUAUCAAUUGUAACAGAAUUAUACAGUGGAUAUGUUAUCAGCUUUUGAUUAAUAAAGGAAACAGUUAUGGUCUUGGAUUGAAGGUUGUUGCUAAUUGCUAAUUGCUAAUUGCUAAUUCAGAAGUGGAUGAAAGUGUUGGCCUAGUGACCUUAAUCUACAAUUAGAUUUUGAUGACAACAAAUAAUUGUGUAAAUUGGAAUUAAUCUUUUUAUCUGCGAGUUCUAUGUUUAAAUCUCUCGAUCAUUGGGAAGGAACUCAAGACACACAAGUUGCGAGCAUUUAAAGCUAUCUAUGCUUCAAAAGGUCAAAAAUACCAACUCUCACCUCCUUGAGCUUUAACUUGAAUAAAAUCACUUAUGAUUAGAAUUGAGAUUUUUAAACUCUGGAAUAGCAUAGUAGCAUCCGGAAGUUGUUCCGGACGCCCGAAUCAUAUUUCGGUCACCCGCAUCAUAGUAGAUGUUUUUUUUUUUUUUUUUUGAGAAAUAGGUAGCACGCUAUCCGCUUCGUUUAUUUCAUUUAGAAAUAAACUUAGCUGGAAAUAUAAAUCAACUAGGAUUUGAACUUGAGUCUUGCGUACCAACCACCAAGCCCUUUGCCACUUGCUCUAGGGACGGUCGGUGAAUCAGAGUAGAUGUUAUUGGAGGAUCUGGGCAUCCAAGAGCCCAAAAGUGAAUUUGGGCGCCUAAGAGUUUUUCUGGGCACCCGAAAACUCUGGAAUUUGAAUUUUGAAUUUUUUUAGUAUUUUAGACUCUACUGAGCAGAAGCAAAAUCAUAGGUUCGGCGGUUUCAAACGCUUGAAAUAGGAAUCAGGCGCCGCACAGGUUGCAUACAGUUUUCUGCUUUGCGGAGCACGCGCAGAUUUGGGGGACGGAUGCGAGCGCCGGAAUGAGGUUCAGGAUAAGGAUUAAAGUGCCCAUCAGCACGGGCCGUAUCUACCCUGCCGUAUCAUGCCAACAAGAUAUCAGUACGAUAUAACUCUUGUGCAGAUGGCAUAACUCAAAAUCCUCUGUUUUUGAAAUUAAUAAAUAAUUUUCUCAAUAAAAUUCAAAUAAUUUAAUAAAAAUAUAUAAUAAAUAAUUGUCAUAUUUUGUUCCUAAAAAAAAUAAAUAUUUUAUGUUAUUACGUGUCGGCACAUAUAUUUUUUGUGAUCGACACGACCCAGCACUCAUCAUGUCGUACCGUCCCAGUAAAUUUCCGUCACGACCCCGCGCCAGGACACUUAAAUCCUAGGUUCAGGACACCAAAAAUUCUCUGAUGGUGCCGUCUCAAAUGUUAGCACCAGAUCAUUACAAAAGUGACUCCCAAAACCUGAUCCGGGCGCCCGAAAGUGCAGUUAUAAUCUGUUUCAGAAGUUCGGUACGUGCUAGAUCAUUGCAGAAGUGGAUGCCCGAAUUCCUGUUUGGGCGACCAAAGUGUUGUUUUCUGAAAUCAGUCAAUUGUUGGAUUUUGACUAUAAAUAGAGAGCUUUGCGAGCAUUGUUUCUCAUCCCUUGAGCUCAUAAAUUUUAGUGUUCAAUAAUUUUAACUAUCAACUCUCUCUAAGGUUGAGAAAAAAUUGCAAUGAGAUAUAAUUGUAAAAUAGAGAACUAAAGUGUAGAAAAUAUGAUAUUCUUAAGAGAAGUUCUUCUUGGUAUACAGGAUUUGUGUUUCUCCGGUAAAAGUAUCGGAUAGCGGAAAUUCAACAUUCUCUCGUGUUGAGAAAUUAACAGGGAUGUAGGCAAAAGGCCCAACCUUGAAAAAAAUCGAUCACCUACUUUGAGUUUGAUUUUCUCCGACUCUUUUCAUUCUUCUUUUAGUACAGAUUAAUCAAUUUAUGUUCAUUGCAUUUUGUUUUAGAAACUUAAUUUGCCCCUCUUUUUGGGUUGUCAUUCCGAUUCUAUCGGAGCUAGAUCUCACAAUAUUUAGAUUAGGGAUAAUUGCCUAUAUAUGCCUCAUAUGUUCGGAAAUAUCCGAUCUACCCUUGUUUUUUUUUUUUCUUUCUAAAAUACUCCUCAUAUGUUUCACUGUUAUUUCAAAAUAUUCCUACAGUUAUCCUCUGUUAGCUUAACUUGAGUUAAACAUGGGUUAAAUAUAUAUUAAAGUUAAAACCUAAAUAAAAUACCUAUUUUGUCCCUACCAUAUUAUACUAAUUCCUUAAGUUAUCCUCCUCAUCCUCCUCGUCAUUCCCCCUCUCCCUCCUACCCCUAUCGUCACCCAAACCCAACCCCAUCGUCGCGGAGAGGACGGCGACCCCUUCGACCCCUUGUUCCUUCUGAAGGACGACCCUAUCUCCCUCGUCUCCUCUCUCUGGAUCUCCUCCUUCCGCAGCAGCCCAAGCAGCAGCAGCCCAAGCAGUCUCCUCCGGCGCUUGGAGCUCUGGGUGCUGGCCUACUAGAAGGCGUACGCGGAUGAGACGGGGUCGUACCUCCCCCGCUCCUCCCUCCCCCGCCCCGCCCCGCCCUCGACUUACUCCUGUCCCUCCGAAGACGUCGUCCUCUCCGGGCGCUUCCUGGGGCGACAGCUCCGCCCUUAGUCCUCUCCCUCGCGCGUCCACCGUGCCGUACUCUCGCCUCUCGAAGCGCACAGCUCCGUGCCUCCAGGGUCUCCUUGUUCCGGCCGGCUUCUCCAGGGAGUUCCUCAUCUGGCGGUCCACGUGAGGCCAGUUUGUGCGGCGACUGAAUUAUAUAUUAUAAUAUAUUAUAUAUAUUAUAUUAUAUAUAUAUAUAUUAUAUUAUAUAUUCUAUAGUAUUUAUUUAUUAUAUAGAAAAUUAUUAUAUAAUAUUUUAUUUAUAAUUUGUAUUAUUUAUUAAUAAUUUUAAAUAUAUAACUUUAUAUAUUAUUAAUAUAUAUUAUAAUUUUAAUAUAUUUAAUAUAUAUAAAAAAAUUAUAAUAAUAAUAUAUAUAGUAUAUUAAUUAUUAUAUAUUUAUUAUAUAGCCGAAUUUUUUAUCCCGAAUUUUUAAUUGGUGAACGUAUAAUAUUCGUAUAAAUCACGUAUCCGAAUAAUUGCCGAAUCUGUUUUUUAGCCGUAUUUUUCAACGAAUUUAAAAAUUAAAAGACGAAUUAUAUCCGUACCGAAUUUUGGCCGAAUCCGAAUUAACUAACUAUACCUUCAGCCACCAAGGUUGGUUUAACUGCGAUCGAUCUCGUCCGUUCAUUUGCUCGCUCUCGACGUGCUUUAUUAAUUAAUUAAUUGAUAUUUGAAAGGCAAAUUAGAAAAGUAUUUGCUAUAUGAAGGGUAUAUAAGAAAAGUUAGUUACGGUACAAGGAUAUAUUGGAAUAGACAAAAUGAUAAUUUUUUAGAGAUAACGGCAACUCACUGACGGAACUUAACUUCAGGGAUAUAUUAGAAAGACUUGGAACAUAAGAAUGAUAUUUUCAAUAUUAGCCUUCUAAGAGGGGUAAAUAAGAAAACCGAAAACUUUUCAGGGGUAUAUAAGUGAUUGCCCCGUUAGAUUAACAUCUAAAUGAGAUUGACAACAUUUGCAAAAAAACAUUGAAGGACAAUUUAUUGCACGGCUACUAUUUUUUGGUGGGACCAACUAUUCCUGAUAUGGUAUUGUAGAGAAAAAAAAAUAGCUAUUUCACAUUAUUGAUAAAACAUCACUAAUAGGGAGGGAAUUCUCAACAAAACUGAUCUUGAAUCACAGUGACCAAAUAGAGACCAUUUGCAUUGCAAAAAAAAUUCGACCAAAUCAAUCCAAAUCAACUAAAAUCCUGUAAUUUAAUAAUGGAACAAUAAAUUUGAAAAACUACUGACCGCCUAUAAUAAAAUGAUAAAAGAUUUGAUGGUUGGUAUCUGAGUUCAAAGUUGAGGUACUUGAAUUAGUUACGGAGAUGAUUUUCUUUGUACUAAUUGGAAGUGCUUUGCGAAGAAGAUUGUUUUUGUUAAGAGCUCACCUCCUAUCUCCAUGGAACACUUUCGAAAAUGGCAAGAGAAUAAAAUAGGUAAUUAUUCACAAUAUAUAUACAGUCCCUGUAUUAUUUCAAUAUUGCAAUUUUAUUCAUAUAUAUAAAUUCGCUUGACUCUGAACUUACAUAUAUAUUGCACUUUAAUCUCGAAUAUAUAAUAAGAAAAGAGCCUAAAAAGUUUUAUUAUAGCAUUAUCUUUUUAAUGAAUUCCUGCCGGAUUAUGUUGAAACUUUAUUAGAAACUAGGAUCGUACAUUCUGCCAUGAUUUCGAUUUCUGUAUCCGAAUUGUUGACGGUGAUCCUUGCUCGUGGUUCGUUUUCGUUCGCGAUCUGCAAGAAGACGGGAUGUUUCGAGUCUAAUUCCCUUGUCCCCGGAGAUGGAGCCGUCACAGAUAAUUGGAUUAGGGUUAGAUCGGGACUUCGGUAUGUUACAUAUUUAUAUAUAACUUGAUAUAAAGAUGUUAAAUCACGUUCAUCCAUCAAGGACGUGUCCAGAUACAUCCUAACCGUAAGAUCUAAAAUAUCUUUAUAGAUCAACUUUAAUAGAUUGACCGUAUCUUUAUAGAUCGCCUUGAAUAUAUCACAUGGGCCACAUCCAACAUUAGCCUUUCAUGCUAGUUUGAAAGGCUGAAAAAUUUAAAGUCGUUUGAAACUCUUCUUCUAAACUGAUUAUAUAUAUAUAGGGUAAUUAUUCACAAUAUAUAGAAACAAAUUCAUUUAAACUUAUUACAUAUAAGAGUAACUAAACCAAGUUACAUAUGGAUGAUAGAUGCAUGAUCACUAUAUUAUUCCAAAUGUAACUCGUGAACUUUAGUUAGCCACCGGUUUGAGCUUAAUCGGUAAACCGUUACGGAAAUCGACUUGUGGCUUCGCCAUCGGAUGAUCCGGUCCGAUUAACUCAAAAUUGUAGUUCUGGAUUAGUGUGUGGAGAAAUAUUGCAAUUUCCAUCCUUGCUAGGUCUCUACCUGGACAGAGUCUCAUCCCCCCACCAAAUGGCAUGAAACUGGCCUUCUUUGUAUCAGAUAAAGUCUACAAAGUAGAAGAAACAAGAUGAAUCAGUUAGGGGGGUGAAUUGUUUUUGUACUAAUUGGAAGUGCUUUUGGAAGAAGAAGCUGGUUUUGAUUAAGAGCUCACCUCCCAUCUCCAUGGAUUGAAUUCAUAAGGAUCUUCAAAAACUGAUUCAUCCAAAUGUGCUGCAGCUAGGUGUACUAUGACACCAGUUCCUUGUGGAAUUACAUAGUCUAGAAGAGACAAGUACUAAUUAACAUUAAUUAAUUAGCUCAUUUAAAGCAAUAAAAACAUUAGUUAAUUAUCCCUAUUCGAAAAAAAUGUGAUAAAAUAUCAAAUUAGGGCCGUCAACGGCCGAACACGAGCGAGUUGAGGUCGACUCGUAUUCGUUCAUUUAUUAAAGGAGCCGAACAUGAGCUGACUCAUCAAAAUACUGAGUUGAAAAAUCUAGUUUGUGCUCGUCUUGUUUAUUAACAAGUUAAACACGAGCUAGAUCGCGAACAAUAAGGUAAAUUGUUAGUUCUAUUGCUGAGCGAAAAGUUGAGAGAAAAUUAGAACAUUAAAAUUUUAAUCUAAUAAUUAAAAUUUAUAAAUAUAGAUUUCUUUACAUUUGAGUUGGCCCAUAAUCCAAAUAGUAGAAAUUUGCAAUAUAUUCAAGUUAUAUAGAACCGAACACAAGCGAGCUGACUCAUGUUUGAUUUAUUAAAAUUUCAAGUAAAAAAAUCAGCUCGUGUUCGGCUCGUUUAUUACACGAGCGAUCGAUACCGAGCUCAUCUUGAGCCGAACACGAACUGAGUGGAACAACAAGUUGGAUUGCUAGCUGUAUCAAAUUAUAGCGAAGUACCUUUAUAUUCGUGUUCUACGCUUGCUUUCCUAAGGAGAUCCUAACAACAUUUCCGAGUCGCAGAGUCUCGCUAAUGACCUUCACAAGACAAAUAUUGUUGCAACAUUAAAGUUGAAAAAUUUAUGUUCUUAUAUUAUAUUGAGAGAGAGAGAGAGAGAGAGAGUGAGUGUGAGGUUACUAUGCUUCUGAAGUACAGAGCUUUCUGUGCUCCAGGUUGUUUUCCAUGUUGCGAUUUUCGAAUCGUCGAUCGCUCCGUUAAACUUUAUCUAGAGUAUUUGAAGUACUAGAAAUAAAUUAUGCGAUUUUUUGAUAUUAUUUGCUUAGUGAACGAAGGGCUCAAAAUCAACGGCUGAAAAUAAAAAUCUUACAAAACGUGAUAAUAUGACAUUAAAAUUUUAGAUCAAAUAUUGAUCUUUUUUAUAUAAUAUAAGAAUUUUCUAUCAAAAUUUCACGAUUUGGAUAUUUCUACACCGUUAACUUGCAAACGCUUACUACGACCAUAUAAAAUUAGUUGAUUUUCAACCCUUUUGAUCACUAGGCAAAUGAUAUCGAAAAUAUAACAUUUAUUUUUAGGUACUUCAAAUAUUCUAGAUCAAGUUUAACGAGCGAUCGACGAUUCGAAAAUCGCAACAUCGAAACGACCUGGAAGCACGGAAGGCUCUGUUCUUCCAGAAGCAUAGUAGCCUCACACACUAUAUAUAUAUAUAUAUAUAUAUAUAUAUAUAUAUAUAUAUAAUUGAGCUAGAAUACUUUUAGAAGCACCAAUCCUUUGGUGCUUCUAAGUUUCUAACCCUUGGAUCUACUCCCCAAUUACUAAUACAUACUUCUUGGAUCAAACACUAUUCCAUCUAUCACCACCUACCACUAUCAUCUCAACUCUACAUUUCUCCAUCCAAUGGCUAAAAACUCAAACGCACCACUUCCUUGGUGCAAAAGCACCACUUCCUUGGUGCUUUUGAGAGUACUGGGCUGGAAUACUAUUAAUAGUACCAAGUUGUUGAAACUAUUAAUUUUUUAGCCCUUGGAUCGAGAAAUAUGCGGUUAGAAUGAUGUGGGCCCCUUAAGAUUGAGUGGGUGGUUGGUCGAAUAGUAUAAUCUAACGGGUAAAAAUAAUGAAAGGAAUAAAUCUAACGGUAGAAAACCUGAUAGCACCAAGUGCUUGAUGCUAUCAAUAGUAUAGCAGCUGGACUAUAUAUAUAUAUAUAUAUAUAUAUAUUGCCUUUUUUUGUAUCAUGGUAAUCUAUGUCAUACAAUUGUUAUUCUUCAAUAACUUAAGCUAGGAGAGAAUAAUAAUAAUAUUUAUAUUCAAUAAAAAAAGUGAUUUUUUUUUUCCUUAUUUUUUUUAUUGGAAGCUCACAUUUUGGGUGAAUUCGCAAUCCUUGUAAUCAUCCCACGUUAGGUUGCUCCCUCCAUUCUCACUCUUGGAUUUCAAACAUCGAUCGCGCUCUUCCUGAAACCGCCCAAAAAAUUAAUUCCAACUAAAAAAACUUUUUUUUUUUUCCCUCAGAUAAUGUCGUUUAUUAAAGUAACAAUAUACAAAACUUUUCUAAAUUAUGAACUAUUCUGAUUUGGAUACCCAAUUUUUCAAAAUUUUAAUUUUUUAUUUAAUUUUUUAAAUUAUUUGAUUUGAGCCCGUCAGGUAUCUUUACUUUAAAAUUUAAACUAAUUAUUUAUUUUAAAAAUUUAUAUUUGUAAUAAUUGCAUGAAGUAUACUAAUUAAAUCAAUGGAGGUAUAUGAUACAUUCAAAUUUUGAAAAAGUCAAAGUAUCGUUGAUUAAUUCGAAUUAAAUAAAUUUAAAAACUGGAAAGUAAAAUUAAAAUUUUGAAAAGUUAGAUAAGGAAAUAAAGAUGAUUCAUGAUAAGUUCUCUAUGUUUUUGACCUAUUAACUUAUCAAUACAGUAUUUGCACAACUUUACCCUCAUCUGCUCAAUAGCUUUCGGACAAUGCGCCAAAAAAUAGAAUGCUAAAGAUAAAGUCCGCGCCGUCGUAUGAUGACCGGCGAAAAUCAGGCCCUGAGUUAUGUCGAUCAUCUCCUUCUGUCGAGUACUGACGUAUCUCGACAGUUCACAGUCAACGAAUCGUCCUCCUCGUCGACUUCCCUUCCUUUCGUUUAUCGCUUCUCUUCAUCAAUUUGCUCCACCAAUUUUUCAAAUACUCCCUCUCCUGUAACCCCGGCAAAAACUAUAAUACCAUAUAUAGUACACUACAUUUUGAAACUUAAAGAUGGAGAUGUACUUAAAUGCAAACAAUUUAAUGUACAUCAACUUAUCUGAAAACAUGAAACAUUUUUAAUAUUCACUAUCGAUCCAUUUGAAAUUUUGUCUUUCGAAUUGAGUAGUCAAUGAUACUAUUUAUAUUAUGAAAUAACUAACUAAAAAUUCGUUGAAAAGUUGGAUAAUAAAAUCAAAAUUUUAAAACAAAAUUGUAUUGUCGAUUUCAAGUGGUUCAUAUAAUUCAAGAAAAUACGGUAUGUCUUUUAUCGUAAUUUUUAUAUAGGCAAUUUUACCCCUUAGAGCCUUUGUAUUAUUUGUUUCAGGCAAAAUAAUUGGAAUUGUAGGAGAACCCCUUGGCUAAGUCCAUAACGCGUAUACUUACUCAUCUUGGUUUCGGGUUGUUUUGAGUUCAUUCCCAUCACCUUUGAUAUUACAUAGAAUGAAAACUGCAAAUAAAUAUAAUAAUGAUUAAGCACUAUAUAUAUAUAUAAGUGAAUAAUAUAUUAUAUAAUAUAUUAUAUAUAUAUUAAUAUAGAGUAGCUAAUAUAUCGAAAGUAUAAAAUGUUAGUGCCUUUCUAACUUUUUUAGCACUUUAGAUUAGAAGAUUACAGUUGGGCAUGAUACGUCCCCUUAGGUUUAGUGUGCCCUUAGGGUGAGUGUCCCCAUUGAAUUAAUAAAUAUUAAUUCCAAUGGUUAAAAUGAUCCCAAUUGCUGAUUCUAAGGCUAAAAAAUUCGGAAACAACUACUUUAUGCUCUGCCGAUAGUAUAUUAAACAUCUACUCUAUAUAUAAUAUAUACUAUAUAUAUAUAUAUAAAUAUAUAUAUAUAUAAUAUAAAUAUAUAUAUUAUAUCCUUCCGCCUACUAUAACUAUUGAUAGUACCAAGCCUUGAUACCUAUUAGUUUUCUAGCAUUAGAUCUACCCUUGAAUCAUUUCCACCCCGUUAGGAUAUAACUAUAACGGCAACCACUCCACUAAAACUCUAGGGGACCAACUUAUCAUCCUAACUGCUCCUUUCAUCCAACGGCCGAAAACUCAUAUACAAGGCUAGGUACUAUUUUAUAGUAUAGUAGGCAUAAUGUUCUCUCUCUCUCUCUCUUCCUCUCUUCUCUAUUUAUAUAUAUUAUUAUAUAUAUAUACGAGAGAGAAGUAGGGCUAGAAUACUUAAUAAAGUAUCAUGUGGGUGAUACUUGUGUGUUUUUAGCCCUUGGAUGGAGAGAUGUGAGGUUGAGAUGAUGGUGGUAGGUGGUGGUAGGUGGUGGUAGGUGGAAUAGUGUUUAAUCCAAGGGCCAUUAAUAAUAAAAAAGUAGAUCCAAUGGCUUAAAACCUAAUAGCACCAUGAUGGUGAUACUUGUAAAAGUAUUAUAACUCAACUCUAUAUAUAUAUAUAUAUAUAUAACCAGGCUAUUAUACUAUUAAUAACACCAAAUCAUUUGUGCUAUUAGAUUCGGUUCUUGAAUGAAGGAAUGUGCGGUUGGUAUGAUAGUGAUCUUCCAAACUUGAGUGGGUGGUUUGGUUGAAUAGUAUGAUCUAACGGAUAGGAAUAAUCAAAAGAGAAGAUCUAAUGGUAGAAAAUUUGAUAACACUAAGUGUUUGAACUUUUUUACUACUAAGUUUAUAAUUCUUGAAUGAAAAAUUAUAUGAUUAGAAUGAUAAUAUUCCCUUAACUUCUUCAUUGUGAUACGAAUUCUCCUCUAUGGUUUAGUAGGUGGCUGGUAGAAUGGUAUGAUCUAAAAUUUGAAAUUAAUUAAGAUGUAGAUUUAAUGAUGAAAUACUUUAUAGCACAAUGAAGAAGUUAAGGGAAUAUUAUCAUUCUAAUCAUAUAAUUUAUAGCACAAAAUAUUUAGUACUAUUAAUAAUAUCCCAGUCAGACUCUCUCUCUCUAUAUAUAUAUAUAUAUAUGAGCCAAGAAAAAUUGUUAAUCAAUGUGCACUAGCUAAUAAUUCUAAUUAAAUUAUAAACACUAAUUAUAAUUAUAUUAUAUCUUAUUUUACCUUUUCUUUUACCAAUAAUAUAUUUAUAUUCAUAAAAAAGUAUUAUGAAAAUCAAUUGCUGGAAGGGUGGCCUAAUUUCCUCUAGGAGACAUGACUUUGUAGACUCACCGAGUGCUCCACUUGUAGUUGUAUGGGACGAAAAACCAAUUAAAGUAAUUGUGACAUGAAACUUUGAAGAUUCCUCCGGUUAAUGUUGUGAAGUUAAAGUUGGUUGGUAAGAAAAAAUAAAAAAAUGCAUGACGAGAGAGUUUUUGAUGAAGAGCCUACGCACCUGUUUGGUUCGGGGUUAAGGGGUGAAAUAAGCCCUUAACCCUGAAGUUAUUUUCAAACAUUCAAUUUGGGGGGUGGGGUUAGCUAAUCCCAUUAUUCCAACCAAACAAAAUACUAUUUUACCUACUAUACUUCUUAUUCCACCUAUUCCAACCAAACAUUAUUUUAUCUAUACCGGGAUUAAAUCCAAUAAACAUAUUUUUAUCAAAAUACUGAUAAAAAUUUUUCGACGUUAUAUUAAAGCACCAGUAUACUUAUCUCGACAUAUUUAUUUAACGAUUUCUUGCUCGACUUUUUUACGAGCGUUAGAAAUUAUUCUUGCCGGUACCUCAAAACAUCGUUAGUUAUUAUAUAUUUAAAAUGUUCUUAAAUGUAAGAUUUAUUAUAGUGAAACGUACCUUUCUGGUCUCGUCGACGCCGUAGAUGACGUUGCGGCCUUUCCAGGAGGCGACGAGGGCGGCGGCCUGCCGCUCGAUGCUGCGGAUGAAGGACUGGGUCCUGGCGGUGCUCACGAAGCUGAGGAUGAUGGACUUCUUCUGCUUAUGCGCGUCGCCUGUCGACAGCACCGUCGAGUGCUUGCCCAUCAGCCGCGGGACGUGCGGCGGCCACGCGUUCUCGAAAAGCCGCGUGUCGUUGUUCAGCACAUGCCGGUUCAGCUCCGCGUCCGCCGACACGAUCGACACCCUCCCGAACAGUCUCGCCGUGAACACCCGACCGUACCUGAACAUAUCAUACGUAUACAAAUACUUACAGAUACUUUUAUCAGCAAUCUCUUUUAGUAGAGAUGUACUAUGCGGGCAAUAAGAUCUUAGUUUAGAUCUGGGUUUAGUAAAACGGUCGUAACUUUGCGUACAUGCGUCCGUUUUCAGCAUGCAGUUCCAAUCUGAAACCAGUUUUUCGAGAUGCACGCGUGGACCGGCUCGGCUUGGCACCCAAAGUCAAUCGUUCAGUUCUCCGAGUUUGCAGUUUUAGGUUUUCUUUUAUUAAUUUUGAGAAUUUUGUUUCGUUUCUUUUAUUAUUUUGAAUUAGACAAGAAUUCUGUAAUAUUUAUGACUGAUUAAUUAGGGCUAGAUUUAGACGUUUAAUAUCGAAUUCUGAGUAAAAGAGAGAGAGAAAAAAAAAAGAAAAGGAAGUAAAAGAGAAGGGGAUAACUUUGAGAUCUUCUGGGUCAUGUAGUCGCCGAGCGCGGUGGCGCGGUGCGGGCGGAGGAAGGCGAAGGUGGAGCCGACAACGGGCCACCCCAUCUCCCCCAGCGGGAGCCGCUUCGUCGACGCCUUUCGCUUCGCAUUAACGCUCCGCUGAAACGGCAGCAGCAGCAGAACAACGAGAGUAGAGAUCACCAAAGUUAUUGCUGCUGCAAGAAGAGUUGCAGGGGACAUCUCUAACACUUAAUUCCUCUUGCGCAGAGAGUGUUGAGAUUGAGUGAAUGAUGUAUGCAUGGUAGUAUAUAUAUAUAUAUAUAUAAAAGGAGUGAUUGCCAUUUAAAAUGUCAUUUUGAGUACCAGCCCAUUAAACAUUAUCAUUUGCAUCCGGAUCUGACAAUUUCUAUCCCUAUGUACCCACAUGUUACCAGUAAAGAUAUGAAUAUUAAUUUUUUUUAUCCAAAAAAUUAUGGAUAAAAUGUGUAGGUAUAUGUUAAGUUGUGAGCAUUUAGGGUGCGUUUGGUUCGCAUUAUGAAAAAUUACUAGGAAUGAAAAGAUGUCCGAAAAUUUUAUUUCUAUUCAUCCUAUUACUAAGAAUGUUGAAUUUCUGUGUUUGGUUCGCACGGUCAUAUUAUUUAACCAUGUUAUUUAAAAUUAAAAAAAAUAUACAAUUAAUUAAUUUAUUUUUUAAUUAAUUUUAUAUAAUACUAUAAAAAAUAUUAGCAUCUUUUUAGAAAAAAGGGAGAGAGAGUAUAGGUUAAAGAGAGAGAGCAUAAUUAAAAAAAAAUAGAGAGAGAAAUAGAGUCGAAAUUAGAGGGAGUGAGAGAGUUGAGAUUUUAGAAAAAGAUAGAGAGAGAAAGCUUAGUUUAGAGAGAGAAAAAAAUUAAAUUUUAGAGAGAAAGAUAAGUUUAGAAAGAGAUAUGAGGUUAAAAGUAAAGAAAAAUAAUACUAAUUAGCUGGCCGGUAGGGAGAAAGAAAGAGAUUAGACAUAUUAGGAUUACCCCAAUUCAUUAAUAUGAGAAUAUCCACCCUCCCUCAAGGGAAUAAGAUUAGUAUUUUGGGAUGAAUCUUAUUCCCAAGUAAAUCUAAUAUUACCAACUAGAUUACUUAGUGCGUUUAGCCAAACACCGUCAUAUUUUUUUUAUUCCUACUGGAUUAUUAGGAAUCUUUAAAAGAUAGCGUGAACCAAACGCACCCUUAGGGUAAUCAGUGGAUACCCACAGGUACUCGUAUAUAUUUUUUGAAUUAAAAAAAAUAAUCUUUAUGAUAUUUCAUGAUCAUGAAAAAUUUUAUUAAUUUUGUUGCAUAAAAAUUUGUAAUGAUAAAAUACUUUUAUAUUAUAUAAUUUAUGCAUUUUAAGAUUUUAUAUUAUUUAUUAUAUGUUAUGAUGUUUAAAUAAUAAGUUAUGCUAUACUUUUAAAAAUUAUAUAUACGUGUUUUGUAUUUGGGAAAUAUAAGAGUAAAAAAAAAAAAUCUUGCCGGUAACCUGCAUAUUGGCCGGGUAUGGAUAAAAAUGCUAACUAUCUAAAAGUUUACAGAUAAAUUCUAUUCAUAUUCAUAUGACCUGCAAGUAUAAUGAUCGAUUCUAUUCAUAUUCAUACGACCUGCAAGUAUAAUGAUCCAUCAGUGAGUUAUCCAACAUGUCUGUUUACUAGGUCAUGUUAAGUUGGUGCCUUCCUUUUGAAUUUGGAUUGAGUCAAAAUUAAUUAAAUUAUAAGUUGGUUUAUGAAAAAUAACAAGGCUAAUGGAAUAUGUCAAUUAGUUUGAUAGUCGAUUUCAAUGUGUGGACAAUAUGUGUUUACCAAUGCAAGGCUGAACUGUAUUUUCUUCUAUACGAUAAAGAUAUUAUUCGCACCGGAUGUACCAAUAAGCAUCUUAGUGUUAUGCUUUCAAGACGAGUCUAAUUAUAGUGGUUGACUUUGAUAGAGCUCAUUAUAGUAUUUCUAAAGUUGAGUGGUUAUCACCAGAUAAUAAUAUUAAUAUAAAUAUUGAAAUGUUUAAAGGAAUUCAUUUAAAGACCGAAAAAAUCAAGCAGCAAAUUUUUUAUAUUUUCGAUAGUUAGUAGCUCACUCACUUCUCUCUCUCUUUCUAUAUAUUACUUAUAUAUAUAUAUAUAUAUAUAUAUAUAUAUAUAUAUAUAUAUAUAUAUAUAUAUAUAUAUAUUGAGUUAGGUUAGUAAAUUACCUCAAAAAGCACCAAGGGGUUGUGCUUUUGAGUUUUUAGCCAUGGUCGAGGAGAGAUGUAGAAUUGAGAUGAUGGUGGUAGGUGGUGGUAGUGGAAUAUGUUUGAUCAAAGUUAUUAGUAAUUAAGGAGCAGAUUCAAAGGUUAGAAAUCAAAGCAGCAAGGGGUUUAGCUCAAUUAUAUAUAUAUAUAUAGAGUGCAGCUAAUAUGCUUCUGGAAGCACGGAGCGCUCCGUGCUCCAAGUUUUUUCGAUGUUGGACUUUCAAAUUGAUGAUCGGCUACCGAAAAACUUGAUCUAGAGUAUUUGAAGUAUCUAGAAAUAAAUUUUGUGAUUUUUCGAUAUCAUUUGCCUAGUGAUCGAGCGAAUCAAAAUCAAUUAUAUUUUAAUGGUCGUAGUGAGCCGUUUGCAAGUUUAACGGUGUAGAAAUAUCCAAAUCACGGUGAAAUUUUGACAGAAAUAUCUUUAUACUAUAUAAAACAAGAUCACAUAUUUUUGAUCCUAAAAUUUUAAUGUUAUAUUAUCACGUUUUGUACGAUUUUUAUUUUCAACCAUUGAUUUAGUCAUUUAGUUCACUAGGCAAAUAUAUAAAAAAAUGUAAAAUUAUAUUUUCUAAAUACUUGAAUACCUAGAUCAAGUUAUACGAGCCGAUCGACAAUUUGAAAGUCGCAGCAUCGAAAACGACCUAAGCACAAAGGCUCCGUGCUUUCGAAGCAUAGUAGCCCCACUUCUCUCUCUCUCUCUCUCUCUCUCUCUCUCUCUCUCUCUCUCUCUCGUAUAUAUAUAUAUAUAAUAUAAGAUAUAUAAUAUUAUCUUAAUAUAUAUACAUUUUAUAAAAGCUUGUGAGUUUAUAAUUUUAUCCCUUUCCAAAAUGUCUCUAUCUUUUUUACUAAUAUUGUCAUGUCCGGUAAUUUUCAACUAUCCAUUUUAAACAAAUCUUUAAAUAAGAAUUUAUUCUCAAAUAUAAAUCUUAAGUUUUCACCGUUUUAUCUCAUCCAACGAAUAAAAAUAAAAGUAUCUGUCAUUUUUGUUGACAAAAAUACCCUCCAUAUGCGUUAUCUCCUAUAUACACCGCAUUUUUUAAAUAUUUUUUUUCUAUCCACCAAUAAUGUAAUACGUAAAACUAAAUUUAUCUCUUAUCUAACGUAAUACCCACCAAUCACGUACUUCCGCUAAUCACGUAAUACGUAAAAUUAAAUUUAUUUGCUAUCCACGUGUUUUCUCAAAUAUUUUUUCUUCUCAAACAUAAUAUCUGCCAACACGUAGUAUUCAAAAUUAAAUUUUAAAUUUGUAAUUCCCACCAAAAUUUAAUACCCGCGAAUUUGAUAAUUUAAAUUUUAAUUUAUUAUAGUAGAUAUUUCCUUACAUAAGAUAGUAGAUUUAAUUUUGACGAGUAUUAAAAUUUGGCGCGUAAUAAAAGCGUUAAAUAUUGUUAAAAAAUUUUAAUACCUUCAAAUCAAAACUAAAUCAUUAAUUAAAUAUAAUUUGAAAUAUUUUUAGUAAAAUAUUUAUUAUUUAAAUAAUGCGUCAUAAAAGUGUAGAAUAUUUCUAAAAAAAAAAAUUAAUACCCGCCUAAUCAAAACUAAAUCGUUAAUUAAAUAUAAUUUUAAAUAUUUGUAGCAAAAUAUUAAAUGUUUAAAUAAUACCCACCAAAAUAUUCUCUUAGUUCUCAAAUAUAGAAUAUAUCUUAUCUAUUUUAAAUAAAUUUUUAAAUAAUAAUUUUUUAUCAAAUAUAGAUCUUAAGUUUGCGCCAUUGGAUCUCAUCCAAUGAAUAAAAAUAAAAUUAUCUGUCAUGUUUGUUGACAAAAAUAUCCUCCAUAUCUGUUAUUUCUGAUCUCAUCCAAUGAAUAAAAAUAAAAGUAUUUGUCAUUUUUGUUGAAAAAAAUACCCUCCAUAUCUGUUAUCUCCUAUUUAAGCCGCGUUUCUCAAAAAAAUUUUUUCUACCCACCCAUCAUAUAAUACGUAAAACUAAAUUUACCUCAUAUCUAAUGUAAUACACGACAAUCACGUAAUACCUCCACUAAUCACGUAAUGUAUUACCUGCCCAUGACGUAAUAUUCAAAAUUAAAUUUUAAAUUUGUAAUGUCCUCCAAAAUUUAAUAUCCCCGAAUUUGAUAAUUUGAAUUUUAUUAAUUCAUAAUAGUAGAUUUUUCCUCACAUAAGAUAGUAGAUUUAAUUUUGACGAGUAUUAAAAUUUGGCACGCCAUAGAGGCCUUAAAUAUUGCUAAAAAAAUUUUAAUAUCCCAAAAUCAAAAAUAAAUCAUUAAUCGUUAAUUAAAUAUAAUUUUAAAUAUUUUUAGUAAAAUAUUCAGUAUUUAAAUAAUGUAUCAUAAAAGCAUAGAAUAUUUCUAAACAAAAUUAAUACCCGCUCAAUCAAAACUAAAUCGUUAAUUAAAUAUAAUUUUAAAUUUUUUUAGCAAAAUAUUAAAUAUUUAAAUAAUACCCACCAAAAUAUUCUCCGCAUUCUCAAAUAUAGAAUAUAUUUUAAUACCUUUGCAUAUAAUAUCUACACUACCCAAUCUUAUUUCAUAAUAAUAUUUAUUACACAAUAUAUACAUCAUAUCUUUUUUUGUUAGCAUAUCUUUUUUGGUAUUUUCUCAUUUAACUUUUAGUAGUAUUAAUUUUUCUUUUUAUCUAUAUUUUUUUCAAAUAUUUUUUUAGUAAUAUAUUUUCUCAUUUGUCACAGCGAUAUAUAGUCAUCGUGCUACUCAUCAUCGUUGCCUGUGCCGAUACAUUUUUGUGUUCGCCGCCUUUCGUCAUAAUUAAAAAGGUAUUUUAAUCCCAUAUGAAAUUUUUUUUUUUUAAUGUGCCUUUAUACUAUUUUAGUAUAUUUUUUUUAUUUUUUCUUAUUUUCACAUAUAUGUUUCUCAAAUAUAAAAUAUAUAUUUUUUAGUAAUAUAUUUUUUUAUUUUUAUCUAUAUUUUUUAAAAUAUUUUUAAAUAUUUGUUUUGUAAUAUACUUUCUCAUUUGUCUCUGAUUUCGACAUUACUAUGUCGUCGUCGUCAUCACCGGCGCCGACACAUUAUCGCUUUCGCCACUUUCGCCGCCUUCGCACAAUUGUAGAGGUAUUUUGAUCCCAUCUGAAAUUUCUCUUUUUUCAAUAUGUCUUUAUACUGUUUUAGUAUUUUUUUAAUAUUUCUCAUUUUCAUUUAUAAAUUUCUCAAAUAUAAAAUAUAUAUUUUUUUAAUAAUAUUUUUUUAUUUUUGUUAUUAUUUUCUUAAAUAUUCUCAAAUAUUUUUUAAUAAUAUCCUUUUUUAUUUAUCUCCGUUGUCGACACCGGUACAUCAUCACAUCACUGUUCCGUCGCACAUUAUCGCAUUUCCAUAGUAGAAAGGUUAUUUUAAUUUCAUCUCAAAUUUUGUUAAUGUGCCAUUAUAUUGCUUACAUAUUUUUUUAGUAUUUUCUCAUUUUUACCUAUAUAUUUCAAUAUAAUAUUAUAUAAUAUAUAUAUAUAUAUAUAUAAAUAUAUAUAUAAUAUAUAAUAUAAAAUAAUAUUUUUUAAUUUUUAUCUAUAUUUUUCUCAAAUAUGACUCAAAUAUUUUUAGUAAUAUAUUUCUCAUGUCCCAUUGUCGAAACCCCACAUUCUCAUCAUCUUCGUCAUUGUUAUCGCUUGGCAUCGCGCCGAACAUUCGCCUCGCUACCUUCUAUACUACUACUAAACUUCUAUAUUAUUUAGUUUUCUUAAUGUAUGUAGAAUGGUUGUUCAAAUUCAAUCACUUUUUAUUUUAUGAUGUUUAAUCGCCCUAAAUUAUAAGUAAAGUUUUCCUUUUUAUCAUUUCACAUGAAAAAAAUAUUAAUAACUAAUUAUUAGAAGAUUGAAACAUGAGUGAAUUAGAUUUGAUCCGAUCUAGACAAAAUAAUGCAAACACACAUUAGUCAUAGGAGAGAUGCUAGUGUAAAUCAAUUCAGUGUUAUAUAACAUUCGCACGUUAAUAUAACAAACUUGAUAGGAUUAAAUUUAAUUAUUUAUUUUUCUGUAGUAUUUAAAUUUGAUUAUCAGGAUUCAAUUUAUUUAGCAAAAUUGGCAGUAACAAAUUGCUGUUAUAUCAUCUAUUCCAAAAACCUCAAGAAAUAAAAUUAAACUAAAAAGUUUACUUUAAUGAAUUCUUAUUAAAUUUAUAUUUAUUCAAUUUUAUCAUCUGAUGAUUUAGUAAUAUUUACUUUAUAUUUUUCUAUUUUCAUAAAGUUGCUACAUAAAUGAGGCUGAUCGUGACAUUUAGUUAGUUUCCAGUGACAAUUUGGUUUCUUUCAAAUAUAUCAUGAUAAUUUGUGCUUCUUUGAUAAAUUAAAUAUUUUUAUUCUGUCAUUUAUUUAGUAAUAAUUAAAUACUAUAUAUUGAAUCUUAAAUAUGAUUUAUAAAAUUUAUUGUUGAGUAUGUCGAACUGCAUUGCACGUCCACUUAAACUAGUAUAUAUAUAUAUAUAUUAGUCCUGCUAUAUCCACUUGAUCGAUCGAUUACCAAUCCUUGUACUAUGAGUUUAUCUCCGUGUAGAUCUAUCCUUGAUCAUUCCACCCGUUAGAUAAUACUAUUAAACCAUACUACCCACUCAACCCUAGGACCACUAUCAAUUAACUGGGGAUCACUAUCAGUCCUAACCGCACAUUCUUCAUCCAACGGCACAAAAACUCCCCAAUUGUUACAAGCCGGCUUACACCUAUUAAAGUUAAGCUACCAUAUAUAAUAUUAAUAAAUAUAAUAUAAUUAUAUAUAUAUAAUAUAUAUAUAUAUAUAUAUAUAUAUAGUAUAUAUUGCCGUCUGGUCCGUAUGCUUCUGAAAGUACGCGAGCGCUCUUGUACUUCUAAUUUUUCGAUGUUCGACUUCGAAUCGACGAUUGCCACUCCUUAGACUUGCAUCUAUAAGUAAUUUUGAAGUACCUCUAAAAAAAUUUCGAUUUUCGAAUCAUUUCCUAGUUGACAAGCUGACUCAAAAUUAACGCUGAAAAUAAAAAAUCUUACAAAAUAUGAUUGAUAUAUGACAAUAAAAUUUUAGAUAAAGUAUUGAUCUGUUUAUAUGAUUAAAAAAUUUUCUACAAAAUUCAUGUGAUUUAGAUAUUUCUACACUGUAAACUUGCAAAACGUGCACCACACCAUUAAAAUGAUUAUUUUGAUUCCUUUCCAUAAUAGCAAUAUGUAUCAAAAAAAAUCACAAAAUUUAUUUUCUAGUACUCUCAUAAAUAUAAUUACCGUAUAUCAACUCUACGGUUGCCGAUCGUCGAUUCGAAAUCCAACAUCAAAAACAAACUGGAAGCACUAAACCACCCUAUAUAUAUAUAUAUUAUAUAAUAUAUAUAUAAUAUAUAUAUAGUAUAUAAUAUAUAUUAUAUAUAUCAAUCAUAUUAUUAGAAUUAUAAUCGAUACCUAUAUAUAUAUUCCAUCAAUCAACUGUUACACGGUCGCGAGCAGACUGUAGGCGCCGCUGCGAGCGCGGGCGCAGCAAAGGCCCGCGAGCAGGAGCCGGCGCGCAGGCGGCACGCGCAUCCAAGGUCUGUCGCGACGCCUGCUAGCAGGCCUGCCGCUGCGGUGGCUGCGCAGCGGGCGCGGCGGGGGAGAGGGGCGUUUUUCCCGGCGCUCGACGCACCGACGAGGGCACGGCGGCCGGCGUGGCGCCCCUUGGCGGCGCGCUGCGCUCGCGGCGCGACGCAACGCACGGUCUGCCGAGAGCCGAAAAAAAAUCGCACCUCUUGUCAGGUGGUGGCGUUGCACGGGCUCCAAGUGCCUCGUGACCACUUGAGAGGAUGUCAACGCGUGGACCUCCCUCUCAUCCUCUCUCUCUCUCUCCUCUCUUUCAUUAUAUAUAUAUAUAUAAUCGUCGAUUCGAAAGUCCAACAUCAAAAACAACUUGGAAGCAACGGAACCGCAGCCCAUAUAUACUAUAUAUAUAUAUAUAUAAUAUAUACUGAAAGAUAUUUAUUAGAAUCUAUAAUCUAUAACCUAAUAUUAUUCCUCAAUACUGUACACGUGUCGCGAGCAGACCGAUGUGCGGGCGAGGGCCGCGGGGCGCGGGCACGGCGCGAGCGGGGGCUGGCGCGGAGGCUGGCGAGGGCGCGGGCGCGGGCGCUGGCGAGGGUGGGGCUGCGAGCGGGCGCUGGCAGAGGGGCGGUUCCGGCGCUGGCGUGGACGCGACCGACGGGGGGCACGGCGGGCGCCGGCGUGGGGCGCCUGUGGCGGGCUGCUGGACUGGCGGCGCGAUGCAACACACGGUCUGCGCGGAGCCGAAAAAAAUCCGCGGCUCUUGUGGUGGUGUGGUUGCACGGGUUCCCAAGUGGCCUCGUGGACCACUGUAGAGGGAGGUCAACGGUGGACCUCUCUCUCAUUCUCUCUCUCUCUUUCUAUAUAUAUAUAUAUUAUAAUAUAUAUAUAUAUAAUAUAUAUAAAUAUAUAUAUAUAUAUAAUAUAAAUAAAAUUUUACUUUUUUUAUAAAUAUAUAUUUAUUUAUUAUAUAUAUAAUUUUAUUUAUAAAUAUAUAUUUAUUUAUUAUAUAUAGUAUUUUAUUUGUAUAUAGAUAUAUUAUUAUAUAAUAAUUUAUUAUAUAAAUAAAUAUUAAAUAAUUUAGACGGCUGGUAUUAGAUAUAAAUAUUAAUUUUAUAAUAUUGAGCAUUCACAUAUAAAUUGUACAUUAAAAAAUAAAAAAAAUUGAUACUGCUUUAGUUAAUUUUAUAUUUGACGAAUAUUAAUUGCGAGAAUCACAAACAAUAAUUUCUCUUCUCAUUCAUUAACUACUGGGGGACUACGAUACCUACUAAAAUUAUUUCACUAAUUAAUGGGGCACUACUAUACCCACUAAAAUUUUUUGAUGUAAUUAUUGCACCAUUUAAAUUUUGAAAUUAAUUUUUAUAACUAAUUUUUAAAAUUAAAUUUUAAAAAUAAUUAUCCGCAGCAUCACACGGAUCCCUUAACUAGUUUAGAACUAUAGGAGAAUCUCAACUGCCGAGUUUGCGAAAUUCCGUUUUUGGACGGACUCGAAUGCGUUGAAAGAUAAUAUAUGGACGUCACUCACAUAGUCUCAUUUAAUUAGUGUAAUCGCGCGUUUAGAUGCUUCAAUGUUACUUUAUUUUUUGUAGACCUAGUUAAUGUUUCAUUGUUACCAUCGACCCAAAAUUAUAGCAGCUGCACAUGAUGCAACAAGGUAAUGGCACAAGCUGUUCAGAAUAUAAGAUUUUGAAAUUAUUGCAUGCACCUGGUGCACCAUACACCACGCUUUUAAAACCUAUCUAUAAAAAGCAUAAAAAAGAAAUUAAUCGAAAUUUAAUGAUCAAAUAUUGGAUAUAUAUGUUCUAUAACUUUGUCAAAGAUUUACACACACACACACACACACACACAUAUAUAUAUAUAUAUAUAUAUAUAUAUAUAUAUAUAUAUAUAUAUAUUAUAAAAAUCACAUAAUUUAAGACUACUUGAUGCAUAGAUAAUAGAUUUUAAUUUGUGUUGAAACUUAUGACUUUUUAGAAAUAUGCCUUUAGAAUGAAAAUAGGGUGGCAGUGCACAGUGCACCGAGUGCGUGCAAUAAUUUCUACAUGGUGUCGGUACGUUCGUAGCAAUGUUAUAGUUUGAGCUAUAUAACAAUUAACGACCCUGUUGUAGUAGUAUUAUUAUAUAUUAUAAGCAUUUGAUUAUUUUAAUUACUCUUUCAUAUGUCCCCUUCCAAAAAAAUGAACUUAUUGAGGCCUUAGAUGCUACUUAUUGAUUCUCCACCGAAGAUGCUAUAGAGGGGUUGGUAACAACUGGUGUCGUAUCUAAAGGUAAGAGAUCGGAAUGUCAAUGGACACUGCCACGUGAGAUUUUUUUUUGAACCGGAAUUUGAUGUUGAAAUUUUAUAAGAAACUAAGAUUGUACUUUCUGUCAUAAUUUCGAUUUCUGUAUCCGAAUUGUUGACGAUGAUCCUUGCUCGUGGUUCGUUCUCGUUUGCGAUCUGCAAGAAGACGGGACGUUUCGAGUCUAAUUCCCUUAUCCCCGGAGAUGGAGCCGUCACAGAUAAUUGGAUUAGAGUUAGACCGGAACUCCCGUAUGUUACAUAUUUAUAUAUAAUUUUAUAUAAGGAUGUUAAAUCACGUCCGUCCAUCAAGGACGUGUCCAGAUGCAUCCUAACCGUAAGAUCUAAAAUAUCUUUAUAGAUCAACUUAAAUAGAUUGACCGCAUCUUUAUGGAUCGCCUUUAAUAUAUCACAUGGGCCACAUCCAACAUUAGCCUUUCAUGCUAGUUUGAAAGGCUGAAAAAUUUAAAGUCGUUUGAAACUCUUCUUCUAAACU
rnacentral:lncRNA from 1 species